UACGUAGGGUGCGAGCGUUGUCCGGAAUUAUUGGGCGUAAAGAGCUCGUAGGCGGUGUGUCACGUCGGCCGUGAAAACCUGCAGCUUAACUGUGGGCGUGCGGUCGAUACGGGCAUCACUGGAGUUCGGCAGGGGAGACUGGAAUUCCUGGUGUAGCGGUGAAAUGCGCAGAUAUCAGGAGGAACACCGGUGGCGAAGGCGGGUCUCUGGGCCGAUACUGACGCUGAGGCGCGAAAGCGUGGGGAGCGAUCCGG
rnacentral:rRNA from 1 species